rnacentral:lncRNA from 1 species
CUCACAUUUAAUCCAGGGUAAGAGGGAGGAUCUCCCACAUUCUGACCCUGGGAUGUGGAUGCAACCACAGCUUUUUUGCUUUGUGUGCAGCCCAAGGAGGCUCUCUCUGCUAUUCCUGCUUCUCCACAGAUGGAGGGCCCAGGGUUCCCAGGAGGUGGGAAUUUGUGGAAGGGUGGCUUUCCUGGGACCAUCCCAUGGAGCUGACAUCUGAGGGACCUGUCCUACCUUUCAAAGGAAAAAAAUCCUGUCACAUUCCUGCCUCCUGGUGUCUGACCCUGAAUGGGAAAGAGUGUGAAUACAACUCUAGCUCAACACACCUGGACAUGACUUUCUUUAAUAGUCAACCAUUGAGGGAGUUGUCUGGAAAAACCUCCAGAAUCCAUUCAAGGACACUUUGCUAUGGUUUUUUCAUCAGUGAAAAUGCAAGACAAUGCCAGCUGUCCUGGCCAAGGAACUUUAGAAGUCACAAGCUCUCUAUCUCACAUGCAGAACACAGUAAGUGCCCCCAGAGAACCAUGUUCCUGUGAAGAGGCACCAUCACCUCCUCCACCUGCAUGAAGGGCCUCAGACUCCCCUCUCACCUCCCAGUCCACAGGCAAACUCUGGGGUGUUUUCACUUUAUGUUGAUUGUAUGGAUGUCACCUGCACAUGCCCUGUGUGUCCUGGAGCUGCUGCCCACUCUCCUGAGCAGGAUGCUCACCAGGUCCUGCAGGUGCAGCACCACAGCACCAGCCCCCAGGGAGGGCAGACAUCCUUUGAAAUAUCAGAGGAAGCCUCCACAAACCCUGAACCUCAGCAUCCUGCAUUCCUUUAGAAGCAGCAUGACAUGCUGACCCCAAGGACUGUCACAAUCUUGAUAAGCAGCCAAGACUCCAGGAACCAUGUCCCUGUUUGCAGCAGCCUCUGAGUGUGAGGGCAGCUGAGCAUGGUGAAACACUCAGAGGUAGAGAACUGUGCAGCAUGCACAUGGCCUUGGUUUCCAUCAUCAGCACCAAAGGGGAAAAUUAAAGGAAAAAAAAAAGAAAGAAAGAAAGAGAAAAGUAAAAAUAGAAAGAAAGAAAAGAAAAAGAAAAAAAUUGUGAACAGUUAUUGAGAAGGUUUUUUUAAAACUCUUAGAAGAGCAGGGGUGAAGAACUUUGUCCUGCUUUAUUUCUGGAAAAGUUACAAGAGGACCUGAAGGAGGACAUGAUGUUUAGAGACACUGCCGCCCUCCUGAGGUCAUGAAGCAUUGCUAGGUCUUAAAAACAC